rnacentral:rRNA from 1 species
AUUGAACGCUGGCGGCAUGCUUUACACAUGCAAGUCGAACGGUAACAGGCCGCAAGGUGCUGACGAGUGGCGAACGGGUGAGUAAUGCAUCGGAACGUGCCCAGUCGUGGGGGAUAACGCAGCGAAAGCUGCGCUAAUACCGCAUACGAUCUCUGGAUGAAAGCGGGGGACCGAAAGGCCUCGCGCGAUUGGAGCGGCCGAUGUCAGAUUAGGUAGUUGGUGGGGUAAAGGCCCACCAAGCCAACGAUCUGCAGCUGGUCUGAGAGGACGACCAGCCACACUGGGACUGGGACACGGCCGAGACUCCUACGUGAGGGAGCAGUGGGGAAUUUGGGACAAUGGGCGCAAGACUGAUCCAGCAAUGCCGCGUGCAGGAAGAAGGCCUUCGGGUUGUAAACUGCUUGUGUACGGAACGAAACGGUCCGGGUUAAUACCCUGGGCUAAUGACGGUACCGUAAGAAUAAGCACCGGCUAACUACGUGCCAGCCGCCGCCGUAACAC